rnacentral:lncRNA from 1 species
UUGUUUUUACAUGCACAUGCUUUUAUUACAGAACGAAACUUUUACUAUUAUGGAAAUUACUCCAAUGGGUUGAAACAUAAUGAAGGACUUAUGUCAUACGAAAAUGGAGACAUAUAUGUAGGUAAUUGGAAGUUUGGAAAAAAGAAUGGAUGGGGAAGAUAUAUAUACAAAAAAUGCAACAGUAUAUUGGAAGGACAAUGGAAGGAUGGCAAUUUAUGUUACGGGAAAUGGAUACUACCUAACGGAGUAUAUUUUAUAGGGAAUUUCAAAAAUAACAUUCCAACAGGUGACGGUAUAUGGGUUUUUAACGACAAGACUCAGUUAAACGUUUCAUAUUUUCUUAUUGAUAAGGAACCUAAACACUCACUAAAAAAAGAUGAUGAAAUCACAAAGCAUAAAAAAACUUUAAGCUAUAAGCCAUUGUAUAUAACAUCAAUCAAAAGUUAGUUGUUAAAUUCAAAAAAAGGUAAAAGUGGUAAAAAGGGCAAAGAAGGGAAAAAAUUGCAAAAAAGUUACUUCCUUCAGCUAUUUUUUUUGGUAUAUCUCACUAAAAAAAAAAAAAAAAAAAAAAAAGGUAAAAAAAAAAAAGAAAAAUAUAAAAUGGUAACAAUAUUUAAAUAUAAAAAUAAAGUAGAAUAAAUAAAACGUAUUACUUUUUUG